rnacentral:rRNA from 1 species
UGAGCUUGAUCAUGGCUCAGAUUGAACGCUGGCGGCAGGCCUAACACAUGCAAGUCGAGCGGCAGCACGGGUACUUGUACCUGGUGGCGAGCGGCGGACGGGUGAGUAAUGCCUAGGAAUCUGCCUGGUAGUGGGGGAUAACGCUCGGAAACGGACGCUAAUACCGCAUACGUCCUACGGGAGAAAGCAGGGGACCUUCGGGCCUUGCGCUAUCAGAUGAGCCUAGGUCGGAUUAGCUAGUUGGUGAGGUAAUGGCUCACCAAGGCGACGAUCCGUAACUGGUCUGAGAGGAUGAUCAGUCACACUGGAACUGAGACACGGUCCAGACUCCUACGGGAGGCAGCAGUGGGGAAUAUUGGACAAUGGGCGAAAGCCUGAUCCAGCCAUGCCGCGUGUGUGAAGAAGGUCUUCGGAUUGUAAAGCACUUUAAGUUGGGAGGAAGGGCAGUUACCUAAUACGUGACUGUUUGACGUACC